UACAGGGGGGCAAGCGUUGUUCGGAAUUACUGGGCGUAAAGGGCUCGUAGGUGGCCAACUAAGUCAGACGUGAAAUCCCUCAGCUUAACUGGGGAACUGCGUCUGAUACUGGAUGGCUUGAGUUUGGGAGAGGGAUGCGGAAUUCCAGGUGUAGCGGUGAAAUGCGUAGAUAUCGUAAGGAAGGCCGGUGGCGAAAGCGAGCCUCUGGACAGUUACUGACGCUGAUGCACGAAGGCCAGGGGAGCAAACGGG
rnacentral:rRNA from 1 species